CCUACGGGUGGCAGCAGUGAGGAAUAUUGGUCAAUGGACGAGAGUCUGAACCAGCCAAGUAGCGUGAAGGAUGACUGCCCUAUGGGGUGUAAACUUCUUUUAUAGGGGAAUAAAAUGUUCCACGUGUGGGAUUUUGUAUGUACCAUAUGAAUAAGGAUCGGCUAACUCCGUGCCAGCAGCCGCGGUAAUACGGAGGAUCCGAGCGUUAUCCGGAUUGAUUGGGUUUAAAGGGAGCGUAGGUGGAUUGUUAAGUCAGUUGUGAAAGUUUGCGGCUCCACCGUAAAAUUUCAGUUGAAACUGGCAGUCUUGAGUACAGUCGAGGUGGGCGGAAUUCGUGGUGUAGCGGUGAAAUGCUUAGCUAUCACGCAGAACUCCUAUUGCGUAGGCAGCUCACUGGACUGCACCUGACACUGUGGCUCGAAAGUGUGGGUAUCACACAGGAUUAGAUACCCCGGUAGUC
rnacentral:rRNA from 1 species